UGAGGAUCCAGCACCAAGCUGCCGUCUUCCAGCACCUCACUCACAGCCAGAGAUCUUUGCUCACAGCGCCCACGUGUGCUGGACCCAGUUUGGACAUGGUCCCUCGGUUGGCUUCGUUACCGCAGAAGCAGGCCCUUUGGUCCAGUGAUUCUUUGCCUUGGCCUUUCAAGUGCUCGUGCAAUGUUAUGACAGUAUCUGUCUCCACCAAGGAUUUCCAGAUUGCAACCAAAAUUGGUGGGAAAAAAUCCUCAAUAUAAAAAUGGAUCCAUUCCGUGAGGGUGUCGAAUGUCAUGUGGGGACCUUCUGAAGUUCAGCUGGAAGGGCACCAAUUGCCUGGUCUCUCCACGGAUAUUGACACAGUUGACCAGCGCCCCCACAAAUUUGAGACGCAAGUCCUUGGGUGAUGCGCAGAUUGACCAUGGAAUUCUUCAGUGUUUUUACAAUGCCGUGGACAGCUGAUUGAUACAGGGCAGAAACACACAUUUGCCCCACUGUCCACGUUGACCACCCCGUACACAUCUAUACUAUUCCCUAUUCACUGUGAGUCAGUGGGGGCGUUGCAAGCCGGCGCCCUGUCAGCAGCAUGUCCGUUUUUUUCAAUUUUUUUUUUGUUUUUUUAGUAUGUUUUAAAGUAUGUUUUUUGUGUUUCUAUGUGUGUGUUUGGUGUGGGGGGGGUAAGGGGGAAACCAUUUUGGUCGUCUCCUCCAUGGAGAGGCGACUUUUUCCAGGUCGCCUCCCCCGUGGCCUAACAACGAGGAUCGGGCGGCCUUUCCCGGAGACGCGCCCGGGGAUUCAGCAGCGGGCGCAGUGUGGACUCUUGGCGUGGAGCGGGCAAGCCCUCGCUGGGGCUCGCCGGAGGGGAGCGCUCCGUUUCGCUGGCCCACGGCAGCCAGCAGCCUGAGCUCCAGCUGGCGCAGCGUCUACAGCCCAGGAUCCCUCGUGGGGGACCCGGGAGAAGAAGGAGCUUCCACCGCUGGCCCACGGCCAACUUCUACCGCGGACCCGGCGUGGACUUACCAUCACCCCUGGAGGGGAGCUUCGACCGCCGGCCCUGCGGUCUGCGGUGCUUCUGGCUGCGGCGGGAACUUUAAAUCGUCGACCACCGGCCUGCGGCCUACACCAUCCUGAAGCCGCGGUCUCCGGUGGGGAAGAGCCGACUAUGGGCUGGCUCUGGACUCUGGCCCCGACCACGGGGGAAAUGGAGGAGGACUGGACAAUUUUUGUGCCUUCCACCACAGUGAUGAAUGCUGUGGUGGAUGUUUGUGUUCAAUUUUUAUUGUGUAUUGUGUGUUCUUUCUCAUUGUAUCGCUGCUGACAUAUUCAUUUCACUUGCACUUUAUGUGCAAUGUGACGAAUAAACCCGUAUUGUAUUGUAUUGUAUCCUAGGGAGUAACCUCUUGCAAGUUCUCAGUGACGACCAAGUGACUGGGGAAUUAUCUAUCUUGUGGUGUACGGCAGACAUCUAACUUUAGAAUAUCAAACACGUGAGAUAU